CAAUAGUGUAUAUUAAAGUUGUUGCAGUUAAAAAGCUCGUAGUUGGAUUUCUGGUAGGAGUGACCGUUCCGAACUUGAUUGUUCGUGUAUUGUGUUUUCUCCAGCCAUCCUUGUGGAGAACUUUUCUUGCAUUAAUUUGUAGGGAUUGGGACCCGCAUCGUUUACUGUGAAAAAAUUAGAGUGUUUAAAGCAGGCAAUCGCUUGAAUACAUUAGCAUGGAAUAAUAAGAUAGGACUUUGGUACUAUUUUGUUGGUUUGCAUACCAAAUUAAUGAUCAACAGGAACAGUUUGAGGAUAUUCGUAUGAACAUGUCAGAGGUGAAAUUCUUGGAUUUUGAUCAGACGAACUACUGCGAAAGCAUUUAUCAAGGGUGUUUUCAUUAA
rnacentral:rRNA from 1 species